CUCACCCACGAGGUUGACCCCGUGUAUUUGGUUGUGAAAAGGGGAGACGAGAGACGGAGGCGACGGAGGCGGGGAAAGGCGAUGGCGGCGUGGACUGAACGAGCGAACCACAACGGCGACGACGAGAUCCUGCUCCGGCGAUUGGUCCCCUCAUUCAGCUGUUGUGAAGUUGAAGGACUUGAGAGACAACUGCAAGACAGACCUGAAGAUUUGAUCAUCAAUUCUUUGUUGGGAAAACAAGCCCUGCAUGGUUGUGCUGUUGAACUUGUCGCCCUGAGAUGUAGUAUGAUAAGCUGUAUCUGUUUGAAUUAAGAUGAUGUAUGGUGUCUGGUUUCCACUAGGAAGUUAGGGGCUUGUCGUUUGGCCUGAUGAAGGAGCUCCUAACUUUUAUGUAUUGUCUCUUAUAUAACAGGUUGAUCUUGAUGAAAA